rnacentral:rRNA from 1 species
AUAGAGCACGGAAAAGCUGUGUAUAACACAGCAAAGGCGGGGUCUCCGCUGCCCGUUGGCAUGGGCAGCAGGGUUAAGUGGGCCCAUAACCGUGGGCCCCACCUCAUCAACGGCUCUCAAAGUACUCCCCGGGACUAAAUACCUCGAGGGGGGAAACAGAGGCCUCUGCCACUGGACAAUGCUACCAUUUGCCCCUCCGGGGGGUCGGUCUUGUCUGGGCACCUGGCAGAGCCCAUCCACAAGCGCACGAUGGACUUCAGACCUAUCAGCUAGACGGUAGGGUAUUGGCCUACCGUGGCUAUGACGGGUACAGAGGAUUAGGGUUUGAUCCUGGAGAGGUAGCCUGAGAAAUCGCUCCCACUUCUAAGGAAGGCAGCAGGCGCGUAACGUUCCCAAUGCUAGGACCCCUAGUGAGGACGUAAUGGGACAUAACAAUACCCCUAUUGAAUAGUGGGUAAUUGACAAUGGGGCGGGCAUAAACACCCUGCCGAGAAGCAACUGGA